GGCGCUGUGGUGUAGCGGGUUAACACCCUGGCCUGAAGUGCCAGCAUCCCAUGUGGGUGCCAGUUUGAAACCCAUCUGCUCCA
rnacentral:tRNA from 1 species